rnacentral:rRNA from 1 species
AUUGAACGCUGGCGGCAUGCUUUACACAUGCAAGUCGAACGGCAGCGCGGGCUUCGGCCUGGCGGCGAGUGGCGAACGGGUGAGUAAUGCAUCGGAACGUGCCCAGUAGUGGGGGAUAGCCCGGCGAAAGCCGGAUUAAUACCGCAUACGACCUGAGGGUGAAAGCGGGGGACCGAAAGGCCUCGCGCUAUUGGAGCGGCCGAUGUCGGAUUAGCUAGUUGGUGGGGUAAAGGCUUACCAAGGCAACGAUCCGUAGCUGGUCUGAGAGGACGACCAGCCACACUGGGACUGAGACACGGCCCAGACUCCUACGGGAGGCAGCAGUGGGGAAUUUUGGACAAUGGGGGCAACCCUGAUCCAGCCAUGCCGCGUGCGGGAAGAAGGCCUUCGGGUUGUAAACCGCUUUUGUUCGGGAAGAAAUCCUCUGGGCUAAUACCCCGGGGGGAUGACGGUACCGGAAGAAUAAGCACCGGCUAACUACGUG